CCAGUGUGUGUGGAGUCAUUGUUGAAAUACCACUCUGGUCGUAUUGGGCUCCUAACUUCGGUCCGUGAUCCGGAUCAGGGACAGUGCCUGAUGGGUAGUUUAACUGGGGCGGUUGCCUCCUAAAGGGUAACGGAGGCGCCCAAAGGUUCCCUCAGCCUGGUUGGCAAUCAGGUUUUGAGUGUAAGUGCACAAGGGAGCUUGACUGUGAGACAGACAUGUCGAGCAGGCACGAAAGUGGGGACUAGUGACCCGACGGUGGCUUGUGGAAGCGCCGUCGCUCAACGGAUAAAAGGUACCCCGGGGAUAACAGGCUGAUCUUGCCCAAGAGCUCAUAUCGACGGCAUGGUUUGGCACCUCGAUGUCGGCUCGUCGCAUCCUGGGGCUGGAGUAGGUCCCAAGGG
rnacentral:rRNA from 1 species